GGACCCUUAGCUCAGCUGGAUAGAGCAACUGCCUUCUAAGCAGUAGGUCGCAGGUUCGAAUCCUGCAGGGUUCGCCA
rnacentral:tRNA from 1 species